rnacentral:rRNA from 1 species
AACGAACGCUGGCGGCAGGCUUAACACAUGCAAGUCGAACGAGUGUAGCAAUACACUAGUGGCGCACGGGUGCGUAACGCGUGGGAACCUUCCUCGUAGUUCGGAAUAACUCAGGGAAACUUGGGCUAAUACCGGAUGCCUCCUUCGGGAGAAAGAUUUAUCGCUACGAGAUGGGCCCGCGUCAGAUUAGGUAGUUGGUAGGGUAACGGCCUACCAAGCCGACGAUCUGUAGCUGGCUGAGAGGAUGAUCAGCCACACUGGGACUGAGACACGGCCAGACUCCUACGGGAGGCAGCAGUGGGGAAUAUUGGACAAUGGGGCAACCCUGAUCCAGCCAUGCCGCGUGAGUGAAGAAGGCCUUCGGUU